CCGGGGAGUUUUAACCCUUUGUUGUCCGACUCUGUUGCCUCCGGGGCGACCCUGCCUUCGGGCGGGGGCUCCGGGUGGACACUUCAAACUCUUGCGUAACUUUGCAGUCUGAGUAAACUUAAUUAAUAAAUUAAAACUUUUAACAACGGAUCUCUUGGUUCUGGCAUCGAUGAAGAACGCAGCGAAAUGCGAUAAGUAAUGUGAAUUGCAGAAUUCAGUGAAUCAUCGAAUCUUUGAACGCACAUUGCGCCCCCUGGUAUUCCGGGGGGCAUGCCUGUUCGAGCGUCAUUUCACCACUCAAGCCUCGCUUGGUAUUGGGCAACGCGGUCCGCCGCGUGCCUCAAAUCGACCGGCUGGGUCUUCUGUCCCCUAAGCGUUGUGGAAACUAUUCGCUAAAGGGUGUUCGGGAGGCUACGCCGUAAAACAACCCCAUUUCUAAGGUUGACCUCGGAUCAGGUAGGGAUACCCGCUGAACUUAAGCAUAUCAAUAAGCGGGAGGAA
rnacentral:rRNA from 1 species